UUCAGUGAGCUGGGUGCAGGAAACACAGUGCCUAGAAACAGACAUGUUGGUGAAACUGCUUUUCCUUCUUGAUCCUAGAGUUCUGUUUAUGGGAUAGUAGCAGAGCAGCUAGGACAAACCAAUCCCUGCAUUCAGGGCUUCUGAAGGAGACCCCACUGAACUCUCCCUCAGGAAGUCACAUGGGAAGAAAAGGGUCAUUAUUCCUGCCUCAUUAGGUCCUGAAUUCCACCAAAAAUAAACCAGAGUGGAUCUCCUGAGAACAGCAGUACCCAUAGACCACCUGUCCCAGGCCUCCAGUAACAUGAAGAGGCAGAACUUGAGGUCAUACAUUUGGCCCAUUUCUCACUGGUAUUAGGCAGAGACAAUUUACAAACAAAUACUGAAGUAUUUAAUUAGAAUUCCAACAUAAUUUUCUAUAAAUUGGCAUUCAGAAUACUUUGACUACUGGAGGAGGGAAAUCCAAACAACAUGAGCUCUCAGGUUCUACCAGUUGCUUUUCUAAAGGUGACAGAUGUUUGCACUUAAUCUAUAGACUCUGCAAAAUCCAGUCUGAUGCUCAAACACAAGAUGUAACAACCAAUGGGUCCUAAACCUAGAAGACAUGGCAGAGGACAGGAGAGAUUCCUUCAGACCCUGAUCAUCUUCUUCCAGGACUUCCCACAAAGCCUCAGAGAUCCAGAAAAGGCUACAGGGAAGUAAUGGAGACUGGAUACAUGGAACAGCACAAAAGCUCAGAAACAGGCCCAGCGAGAUCCUGCCAGCUGAUUUUUUUCAUCGUCACCUAUAAAAAUCAAGGCAGAGAGAAAGGCUUGUCCACAAAUGACUGCAGAAGAAGAUUUAAAAAACAAGCAAUAAGGAACCAAUUGAAAAACUGAACACAGUCACCAUUUCAAUUGACCUCAAAUACAAACACUAUAAUGCUCACAUAAAGUUACAGAAGAGGGCUACAUAAGUUCCUGCCUUAUAGAAAGGAGGAUCAGAAAUAACACGGAGAUGAACUGUGGACUCAGCAGCCCUGAUACCACCAGACAUGAAAAUACAGAAGCUGGAACAUGGCUGGAGUAGACACUCCCCCAGGACAUCUAGAGAGAGCCUGGCCCCUGACACACCCCAGCAGACAAUAAAUCCCUGACAGUGAA